AUUGUGAGCCCUGCCACGUCUCCUGGCUGGAUCCACCCAAGGUACCAGUACAGUCCUGGGAGUCCACUCACUCCCCAUGGUCCCGGGUGCACGUGGAUUUCACAGGAUCUUUUCAGAGCCAAUACUUCCUAAUUGUGGUCGACUCUCAGUCCAAGUGGCUCAAGGUGGUGCCGACCUCAACUGUGUCCGCUAGAACGACUACAAACGUGCUCAGGAAGCUAUUCACAACACACGGCUUGCCAGACACACUGGUGAGCGAUGAUGGGACUGCUUUUACUUCGGCGGAAUUCAAAGAAUUUGUAACCAAGAAUGGAAUCCGCCACAUUCAUUCCGCUCCUUUUCACCCAGCCACUAACGGCCAAGCUGAAUGCAUAAUCCGUACUACCAAAGAUGCGCUAAGGCGCAUAGUGCAUGCAGAUUGGACUCUCCGGCUAGCGGAGUUCUUAUUGGCCCAACACAUCACCCCAAGCGCAGUGACCAGCCAGAGCCCAGAGGAGUUACUUAUGGGGAGGAGGCUCACUCUCCUUGAUCGUAUGCACCCCGACCGGGCUCUUGAGGGUUCUCCCCGGGGGACACUGUGUACGUCCGAAACGAUGGGCCCGGACAAGGUUGGGUCCCUGGUAUCAUUGCCCACUGUACAGGUCUGGUUUCCUACAAGGUAGGCUUGGAGGGGGGACUGGUUUGGAAGAGACACCUCGAGCAGAUCAGAGCCAGGGCACCUCUGAACACGGAACUUCAAGUGGAACCAGAGGACAGAGAAAUGGGUACUUCAGGAGAUUCUGUGCCCAGACCAGGGUGGGAACCAGAUGGGUUGCCGGAGACUAAGUUACCCUAGCAGGGUGACUUCAGGCCAGAAUCCUCAGUGGCUCCAUUGGCAGUGACCCCUUCGGAGCCGGCCUCGCUGAUCACCCCACUCAGACCGCGGGUACCGGAGGAACCUCUUGGGUCACCCACUCGGGCACAGGAAGAGCAACAGUCCCAGCGGGAGUGGAAAAGGCUGGCACACCUUGAUGACUAUGUUUGUUCCUUUUGUUAGGAAGUUGGGGGGAGGAGUGUUAUGCAUUGGGUUUAACACAUUUUAUGUUACAAGGCACGUUCUAACCAAUCGUAUAUGUGUUGGUAGACGAACGUUCUAAUGGCAAGUAUGCGCAUGUACUUUCAACUGUCAACGGUCAGUUCAUGCUCGGGUUUUUUAUUGUGUUGUCCAGUCAGUUUGGUUCUUGUGUUCCUAUGAGUGAGCUGUUGUCACUGACAAAUGUUGAAUAAACUUAGUUGAGGAACUUA